rnacentral:rRNA from 1 species
GACGAACGCUGGCGGCGUGCUUAACACAUGCAAGUCGAACGGAAAGGCCCUGCUUUUGUGGGGUGCUCGAGUGGCGAACGGGUGAGUAACACGUGAGUAACCUGCCCUUGACUUUGGGAUAACUUCAGGAAACUGGGGCUAAUACCGGAUAGGAGCUCCUGCUGCAUGGGGGGGGUUGGAAAGUUUCGGCGGGUGGGGAUGGACUCGCGGCUUAUCAGCUUGUUGGUGGGGUAGUGGCUUACCAAGGCUUUGACGGGUAGCCGGCCUGAGAGGGUGACCGGCCACAUUGGGACUGAGAUACGGCCCAGACUCCUACGGGAGGCAGCAGUGGGGAAUAUUGCACAAUGGGCGGAAGCCUGAUGCAGCAACGCCGCGUGCGGGAUGACGGCCUUCGGGUUGUAAACCGCUUUCGCCUGUGACGAAGCGUGAGUGACGGUAAUGGGUAAAGAAGCACCGGCUAACUACGUG